CAAUCACAACCUCGCUUCCAGCUGUCACUCAGCUGACUCUCCUCUCCCAUAACUGCCUCUCACCCCUCAGCCGAGUUGCACCCUCCGGGCCUGUAGCUGUGCCUUUCCCGCAGGGCUUCUGGUGAGCACAAGCCUUGACAACUUUAAUAACGAGAAAAUUUUCAGGGCUUUCAGUGUCUUCAAAUAUCUUCACAAGGGAAAACAGCUUCCAAGCAUGUGAGCUGGGGAAGCAUCAGAGCAUGGGAGACUAUUCUCCAGGUUCUGCACACGAGUGUUCCAGCUUCUCAGCUCCAUUGGCAGCACAGAAACAUGGUGUUUGGAGAAGGAAGGAGCUGGCCCUACUUUGAGACAGGGAACGAGGCACAGGGGAAGUUGCUGCAGUCCCUUCUCACCCUAUUGCCUUUGCAUUGUGCUGCUCUGAAGCAAUAUAAAGCUUCUUCUGAAGAAAAAAGUGUCUGUCCAGGGACUUACACUGAGACAACUAUAUCACAAUAACUGUCUCAGGAUAACUGUAGCAAUCUGUUUUAAGAAAACAUCCUUCUCCAGCCUGCUUCCACCACUCACAGAGACCUUCAAGAUGGCUCUGAACUAAAGCCAUGGAACCGUGUGGCACCUGGCAGGGUAAAGCUCUCCACUCCCAGCUAAUCUGCCAGAAGAUUUUGGCCAAAUGGAGGAUGAAGCAUAUUUGUCCUGGUCCAGCAGUACCAGACGUGUGGCCACAGUGCUCUUGAGCUGGUGCCAGGAGGUCUGAAGUAUUAUCAUACCAUCAAGCCAUUGCUGGGAUGCUCUGAAGAGGAGUUAAAGCAAAGCACAUAACUGUGCUGGUAAACACAUCCUGCUUUACAGAUGGGCUUUUACAUCCUGGGCGGAACUGUGCACCAACACAACGUCCCAGUUUGCUGCUAUGCACAGACACUCUGAGGGGUGGAAGGGUGAAGCCUCUGUCCCCUUCUGUACACAAUGCAAAAGGCAGGAGAGAUGAUGGAAAUCUGAACUACAGGCUCAUUCCCGUGGCUGGGAGUGAUGGGGUUAAGAUAAGGUGUCUCAAGAGUCUAACAGGUGAAAGUUGUUAACUCAUAUCACUACCUGUCCUGAGCUCUUCUUCAACCAUAGUUAUCUCUGACCCCCUGAUGUCCUCUGUGACCGCAUUGCUGCUGCCUGGAGACUCUGGCUCCCUGAGAGUGUCCCCUGUGUCUCUGCUGCAAUAUUUGCAUUUGGCAAUCAGGGCUUCAUCUCAACAUCUAAUCAAAAUACAACUCUCUGUGAUGUCUGAUGCAUCAACUGCGAAAUUGCACAAAAAUCUCUUUGUCCCUCCCAGGCAGCUCCACCAGAGUGGUGAAGAAGAAAGACCCAUUUCACACCUUAUUCCCCACAACAGGGGCCGCCUUUGGGGUAUGCUUUUACUUCCAGGUGCUGAAGUGCCAGGGAGAGGUGGCUGGGUUGAGCUGCAGAGUCACUCAGAUGUUAAAUGCUUGAGUAGCACCUUGAGGCAUUGAGGGAAAUGGCACUGGGGGACAAUUUGUAUUAAAAUGGGGUGGUGGAGCUGUUUGACUUCACUGUGAGCAGCGGUUGGUGCUCAGGAUGGCUGAGAGCAGCUGUGUCUGCCUCAAAGUAGAUCCUUGCUUAAACUCUACCUCCAGCACUGUUUUCAGUGGCAUUGGGGGCUUCUAUUUACAUUUGUAAGAAUCCAGUCUUUAAAACAUCCCCAGCAAUCCUCCCAAGCAUUCAAGUUCCAUGAUCCUCAAUGUAAAAUAAUUACCCAGGCUAAUUAAGCAUUAUGAUAGCUAUGGGCCAUUGUAAUGAAUUUUUGACUUGUUGCUAUUCACCGUCACUGACUAUCCUCUCGUGUCUUUGCUGCUGCUCUGGACAAGAAUAAAUAAAAGGCACCAAACCUA